GGAUGUGAAGGUGAACUGGCCGUGACAUCUGUCACCCCACUGGUCACCAAGGUUAAUGUGGUUGAUCUGGCUGGCUAGGCAGGUGUCCCCCCUCCCCCCUCCCCAGUCCAUGUGAACCCCUCCCAUAGCUCCACUCCUGGUCAAAGACGAUGACCUUCCGCAAACAGAGGAGAAGUGGUCUUUGGUCAUGUGGU
rnacentral:snRNA from 1 species